GCCGGGUGCAGUGGUGCAUGCCUGUAAUCCCAGCAAUUCAGGAGGCUGAGAGAGGAGGAUCUUGAGCCAAGGAGGAGCCAGCCUCAGCAACUUAGCAAAGACCUAGGUAACUUAGCAAGACCCUGUCUCAA
rnacentral:sRNA from 1 species